UGAUUUUGGACCCACUUCCAUGAAAGCAGAUCGUUGUAUGGAUUUUCUAGGAGUUAUUGAUGACAUUUAAGCUGCCUAUCCUUAUCCCCAUGAAGAUCAGUUAAAUCAACGUUUAAAUAAAAUUAUGGAUACGAUUUCCUAAAAUCGCUUUGGAUCGACUCCAAACAUGAGCUUAGGAGAGCUGUCAUUAAAAUCAAUGAGUCCAACGGAACCACUCAUAUGUUACUUGCAUACAUAAAAAUAUGCGCGAAUUAAUGUCAGCGUUUAAGGAACGUCAACUGCUACUAACACUAUUGUGAGUGUUUUAAUACCUUGGGAAUCACAGUUGGCAGGAUGGCAAUGGAGAAAAAAUUUAAUAUACAAUGGAAAGUCACGGCAUGGAAUGUUGAUUGUCUGCCGCCUUUUUAUCCGAUAUGAUGAGUUGUGGUAAAAUCUUUGACAUCACCAGAAACGGGAUGGCGAAAAGGAAGGAAUGCGUUUUGAUGCGUCAUUAAGCCCUUGCAAUAGUGUUAGGUAACUGCGGACUGCUGCCAAAGUUUUUGAGCCAGCCCGCGUCCGCACGUCACUCUUCGCAAAAGUCGUAUUUACUUACGAAUUCAGUCACGAAUAACCCAUUGGUGCAGCGGGAUCGAGCCCUAGAAACGCCAUUUGUCCCACGCUUAUAUUGGUAACCUCUGUUCUCUGGUUUACCAUUUAUUUGAGCAAUUUCGAAGACAUCAUUUGUCGCCAUCUAGGGAAAGUCCAGUUCAGAUUUUAAAACAAGCCAGACUUCCCUUUUUUUUUUCAGUAACCUGAAUUGCUAGAAAAACACAUGAUUUUGGAUUUGAAUUGAAC